rnacentral:misc_RNA from 1 species
AGCAACAGUUUCCAAAAUUGCCUGGUAAUAUCAAACAAGUUAUAUUCAGCAUAGGCUUGUUCAAGAGAUACAAAAGGUAAAGAAUCAGAAACCUCAUUAACAGACAUAUCCAUUAAAAUAUUUAAACCACCAGCCACAUGGAUUUUCUUUUCCCAUUGGUGGAAUGACAAAACUUUCAUUACACCCAGAAUUCAACAAACAGUUUUUGCCUUAUCAUAACUUCUUUUUUUAAGCUGCCUUAUCAUAGCUUAAUGUAGCAUAGCCUUAUCAUAACUUAAUGUAGCAUAGCAACUCAGGGGCAAAAAAAAACCCUUGAUCUAAUGGGUGGUAUAAGGUCCAAAUGCUCUUCAAUUAAAUCUGUGCCCAAUUGUAUAACUUCAGACCAGUCUAUUAAUUAAUAACUGUCACUGGACUUU